rnacentral:rRNA from 1 species
AAGUUCUGGUGUCAGCCGCCGCGGUAAAACCAGCACCUCAAGUGGCCAGGAGGAUUAUUGGGCCUAAAGCAUCCGUAGCCUGCUCUGUAAGUUUUCGGUUAAAUCUAUAUGCUCAACGUAUAGGCCGCCGAAAAUACUGCAGUGCUAGGAAGUGGGAGAGGUAGACGGUACUUGAUAGGAAGGGGUAAAAUCCUUUGAUCUAUCGAUGACCACCUGUGGCGAAGGCGGUCUACCAGAACACGUUCGACGGUGAGGGAUGAAAGCUGGGGGAGCAAACCGGAUUAGAUACCCGGGUAGUCCCAGCUGUAAACGAUGCAGACUCGAUGAUGCAUUGGCAUAUAGCCAGUGCAGUGUCGCAGGGAAGCCGUUAAGUCUGCCGCCUGGGAAGUACGUACGCAAGUAUGAAACUUAAAGGAA